rnacentral:rRNA from 1 species
CACGGCGGGUGCUAACGUCCGUCGUGAAAAGGGAAACAACCCAGACCGCCAGCUAAGGUCCCAAAGUUGUGGUUAAGUGGUAAACGAUGUGGGAAGGCUUAGACAGCUAGGAGGUUGGCUUAGAAGCAGCCAUCCUUUAAAGAAAGCGUAAUAGCUCACUAGUCGAGUCGGCCUGCGCGGAAGAUGUAACGGGGCUCAAACCACACACCGAAGCUGCGGGUGUCACGCAAGUGACGCGGUAGAGGAGCGUUCUGUAAGCCUGUGAAGGUGAGUUGAGAAGCUUGCUGGAGGUAUCAGAAGUGCGAAUGCUGACAUGAGUAACGACAAUGGGUGUGAAAAACACCCACGCCGAAAGACCAAGGGUUCCUGCGCAACGUUAAUCGACGCAGGGUUAGUCGGUUCCUAAGGCGAGGCUGAAAAGCGUAGUCGAUGGGAAACAGGUUAAUAUUCCUGUACUUCUGGUUACUGCGAUGGAGGGACGGAGAAGGCUAGGCCAGCUUGGCGUUGGUUGUCCAAGUUUAAGGUGGUAGGCUGAAAUCUUAGGUAAAUCCGGGGUUUCAAGGCCGAGAGCUGAUGACGAGUCGUCUUUUAGAUGACGAAGUGGUUGAUGCCAUGCUUCCAAGAAAAGCUUCUAAGCUUCAGGUAACCAGGAACCGUACCCCAAACCGACACAGGUGGUCGGGUAGAGAAUACCAAGGCGCUUGAGAGAACUCGGGUGAAGGAACUAGGCAAAAUGGCACCGUAACUUCGGGAGAAGGUGCGCCGGCUAGGGUGAAGGAUUUACUCCGUAAGCUCUGGCUGGUCGAAGAUACCAGGCCGCUGCGACUGUUUAUUAAAAACACAGCACUCUGCAAACACGAAAGUGGACGUAUAGGGUGUGACGCCUGCCCGGUGCCGGAAGGUUAAUUGAUGGGGUUAGCGCAAGCGAAGCUCUUGAUCGAAGCCCCGGUAAACGGCGGCCGUAACUAUAACGGUCCUAAGGUAGCGAAAUUCCUUGUCGGGUAAGUUCCGACCUGCACGAAUGGCGUAACGAUGGCGGCGCUGUCUCCACCCGAGACUCAGUGAAAUUGAAAUCGCUGUGAAGAUGCAGUGUAUCCGCGGCUAGACGGAAAGACCCCGUGAACCUUUACUGUAGCUUUGCACUGGACUUUGAGCCUGCUUGUGUAGGAUAGGUGGGAGGCUUUGAAGCGUGGACGCCAGUUCGCGUGGAGCCAUCCUUGAAAUACCACCCUGGCAUGCUUGAGGUUCUAACUCUGGUCCGUGAUCCGGAUCGAGGACAGUGUAUGGUGGGCAGUUUGACUGGGGCGGUCUCCUCCUAAAGAGUAACGGAGGAGUACGAAGGUGCGCUCAGACCGGUCGGAAAUCGGUCGUAGAGUAUAAAGGCAAAAGCGCGCUUGACUGCGAGACAGACACGUCGAGCAGGUACGAAAGUAGGUCUUAGUGAUCCGGUGGUUCUGUAUGGAAGGGCCAUCGCUCAACGGAUAAAAGGUACUCCGGGGAUAACAGGCUGAUACCGCCCAAGAGUUCAUAUCGACGGCGGUGUUUGGCACCUCGAUGUCGGCUCAUCACAUCCUGGGGCUGAAGCCGGUCCCAAGGGUAUGGCUGUUCGCCAUUUAAAGUGGUACGCGAGCUGGGUUUAGAACGUCGUGAGACAGUUCGGUCCCUAUCUGCCGUGGACGUUUGAGAUUUGAGAGGGGCUGCUCCUAGUACGAGAGGACCGGAGUGGACGAACCUCUGGUGUUCCGGUUGUCACGCCAGUGGCAUUGCCGGGUAGCUAUGUUCGGAAAAGAUAACCGCUGAAAGCAUCUAAGCGGGAAACUUGCCUCAAGAUGAGAUCUCACUGGGAACUUGAUUCCCCUGAAGGGCCGUCGAAGACUACGACGUUGAUAGGCUGGGUGUGUAAGCGUUGUGAGGCGUUGAGCUAACCAGUACUAAUUGCCCGUGAGGCUUGACCAU